UGGAGCUUCCUGACAAGAACAAAUCCCUCCAAAAAUCCAGGAAUUCAGGAUUCCCCAAAUCCUUGGGAUCCAGCUGGGAAUGCUGAGCAUGCACUUUAUGGGGUUUUUAUUUUUCUUUUUCAUUUCAUUUAUUUCUCCCCCUUUUCUCCUGGAAAUCCCAAAUCCUGCAGUUCCCAUCCCAGAAAUGUGGGAUUGAGGAAGCUCAGGGAAGCUUAGAGGGUUUUGGGUUUUUGUUUUGUGGGAUAAUUUGAGAUCCCAAAUCCCUUUUUAGGAUCCCAGAUCCCAUUUUAGGGUUCCUAAAUUUCCUUUUUAGGGUUCCCAAAUCCCUUUUGAGGGAUCCCAAAUCCCAUUUUAGGAUCCCAAAUUACUUUUUUAGGGUUCCUAAAUUUCCUUUUUAGGAUCCCAAAUCCCAUUUUAGAAUCACAAAUCUAUUUUGAGGAAUCCCAAAUCCCUUUUCAGGAUCCCAAAUUUCCUGUUUUAGGAUCUCAAAUCCCAUUUUAGGAUCCAAAAUCCAUUUUCAGGGUUCCUAAAUUUCCUUUUUAGGAUCCCAUAUCUCUUUUUAGGAUCCCAGAUCCCAUUUUAGGAUCCCAAAUCCCCUUUGAGAGAUUCCAAAUCCCUUUUUAGGGUUCCCAAAUAUCCUUUUUAGGAUUCCAAAUUCCUUUUUAGGGUUCCCAAAUCUCUUUAGAGGAUCCCAGAUUUCCUUUUUAGGAUCCCAAAUCCCAUUUCAGGAUCCCAAAUUACUUUUUUAGGGUUCCUAAAUUUCCUUUUUAGGAUCCCAAAUCCCCUUUGAGAAAUUCUAAAUCCCUUUUUAGGAUCCCAAAUCUAUUUUGAGGAAUCCCAAAUCCCUUUUCAGGAUCCCAAAUUUCUUGUUUUAGGAUCUCAAAUUCUAUUUUAGGAUCCCAAAUCCAUUUUGAGGGUUCCUAAAUUUCCUUUUUAGGAUCCCAUAUCCCUUUUUAGGAUCCAAAAGCCCAUUUUAGAUUCCCAAAUCCCUUUUGAAGGUUCCCAAAUCCCUUUUUAGGGUUCCCAUAUUUCCUUUUUAGGAUCCCAAAUCCCUUUUUAGGAUCCCAAAUCCCUUCUGAGGGAUCUCAAAUUUCCUUUUUAGGUUCCCAAAUCCCUUUUGAAGGUUCCCAGAUCCCUUUUUGGGGUUCCCAAAUCCCUUUUGAGGAUCCCAAAUCCCUUUUUAGGAUCCCAGAUCCCUUUUGAGGGAUCCCAAAUUUCCUUUUGAGGUUCCCAAAUCCCUUUUUAGGGUUCCCAAAUACCUUUAAAGGAUCCCAGAUUUCCUUUUUAGGAUUCCAAAUCCCAUUCUAGCAUCCCACAUCCCUUCUGGGGGAUCCCAAAUCCCAUUUUAGAAUCCCAAACCUCUUUUGAAGGAUCCCAAAUCCGUUUUUAGGAUCCCAAAUUUCCUUUUUAGGGUCUGAAAUCCUAUUUUCAGCGUUCCCAAAUCCCAUUUUAGAAUCCCAAAUUUCCUUUUUAGCAUUCCCAAAUCCCUUCUGAGGGAUCCCAAAUCCCUUUUUAGUAUCCCUUCUGAGGGAUCCCAAAUUUCCUUUUUAGGUUCCCAAAUCCCUUUUAAAGGUUCCCAAAUCCCUUUUUGGGGUUCCCAAAUCCCUUUUGAGGAUCUCAAAUCCCAUUUUAGGAUCUCAAAUCCCUUUUUAGGAUCCCAAAUCCCUUCUGAGGGAUCCCAAAUUUCCUUUUUAGAAUCUGAAAUUCCUUUUUAGGGUUCACAAAUCCCAUUUUAGGAUCCCAUGUCCCUUUUGAAGGUUCCCAAAUCCCUUUUUGGGAUUCCAAAUCCAAUUUUAGGAUCCCAAAUCCCAUUUUAGGAUCCCAAAUCCCUUUUAAAGGUUCCCAAAUCCUUUCUUAGGAUCCCAAAUCCCAUUUUAGGAUCCCAAAUCCCUUUGGAAGGUUCCCAAAUCCCUUUUUAGGGAUCCCAAACCCCUUUUAAGGAUCUCAAACCCCAUUUUAGGAUCCUAAAUCCCAUUUUAGGAUCCCAAAUCCCUUUUUCCCACCCAGGGAUCUUCCCUGGAUUUUCAGGAGCAUCUGGAUGAAGAUUUGGGAUAAAACCCUUGGAGAAUCCAGGGACCCUUUCCUGUGGAUUUGUAGGAUUUGUGGAUUUCUGGGAAUGCAGCUGAACCCCUGGAAUAAUGGGAAUAAACUCCUGGAUUGAU